rnacentral:sRNA from 1 species
CCAUCGCCCACGAUAGCGGCUGCAUGGCGGGCGCGGAGUUGGGGGCGGCGCUCGAGCAGCGAGCGGCUCGGUGCCCUGGCCAUCCACACUGAGGUCGUGGAGCACCCCGAGCUAUUUACAGUUGAAGAAAUGAUGCCUCAUAUCCAACAUCUGAAAGGAGCACAUAGUAAGAACUUAUUUCUUAAAGACAAAAAGAAAAAGAAUUAUUGGCUGGUGACAGUUCUUCAUGAUAGACAAAUUAAUUUAAAUGAGCUUGCCAAGCAGUUAGGUGUUGGGAGUGGAAAUCUGCGAUUUGCUGAUGAAACAGCCAUGCUAGAAAACCUAAAAGUUGGUCAAGGCUGUGCCACACCCUUGGCACUUUUCUGUGAUGGUGAUGUGAAGUUUGUUCUGGAUUCUGCUUUUCUCGAAGGUGGACAUGAAAAGGUGUACUUUCAUCCAAUGACCAAUGCUGCAACCAUGGGAUUGAGCCCUGAAGACUUUCUCACAUUUGUGAAGAUGACAGGACAUGAUCCCAUAAUACUAAAUUUUGAUAAAAACAACUAA